GGGUUUUAAAUGUUUUCAUUUUUUUAUUAUUCACAAAGUAUGUAAAGUAUAAAAGUAGACUACGUUGCAUGUUUCAAACUGAAUGAGUGUUAUUUUUGUUGUAGGUGUGUUGGUGUAAAAAUUGAUGCUGACUGAACUCGGGCAGUUGUGCUGGACCAUCUGUACUUAGUACAGGGGAUGACAGUAAACUUUCAAGCUUAAGAGCCACCUGAUGAUGAGAGAGACAAUUUCAAUGUGGGCAUCUUGAUGAAGAGUCCACAGUCACAAUAACAAGAUCAUUGGGCUGUCCCCUAAUUGUGGUGAGCUACAUGUUUAGUCUCUUAUGUGCUAAACAUUAUGUAGCCUAAGGAAGCAGCCCUGACUCUGGAGUUUAUAUGAAGGAGCAUGCUGAGUAACUAUCCAGAAUGUAGGUCCAAAGCAGAAAAAAGAGCACCAAGCAGAAACAUACCAUCUAAACUCCUUCGAUUCCUGUCAGACCAGAAAGACUUUCAGAAUCCUUGGAAGAUUUAAAUCCAUUGAAGUAUCAGUAUUGGAGCGGAAGAAGACCCAGUUGUAUCGUCUGUUUCCUGCCAUCUUGCAGUUUAACCUGGUUUCUUAAUGUAAAGUACUUGUAAUUUGCCCACUUGUCCUCAAUUAUCUUAAAGCUAACAUUUAAAACUAAUUUGCUAUGAGAUUAUUUGCCAAGACCUCUCACUGUGUGAUUCACAUGUCAAUAUGUAUUAUUGUGUGUAUAACUAGCUAUUUGGAAUUCAAAUGAUUUGUAUUCAUUAAAGAAUCUGUUUU